rnacentral:rRNA from 1 species
AUUGAACGCUGGCGGCAUGCUUUACACAUGCAAGUCGAACGGUAACAGGUUAAGCUGACGAGCGGCGAACGGGUGAGUAAUGCAUCGGAACGUGCCCGGUCGUGGGGGAUAACGCAGCGAAAGCUGCGCUAAUACCGCAUACGAUCUGAGGAUGAAAGCGGGGGACCGUAAGGCCUCGCGCGAUCGGAGCGGCCGAUGUCAGAUUAGGUAGUUGGUGGGGUAAAGGCCCACCAAGCCGACGAUCUGUAGCUGGUCUGAGAGGACGACCAGCCACACUGGGACUGAGACGCAGCCCAGACUCCUACGGGAGGCAGCAGUGGGGAAGUGUGGACAAGGGGCGAAAGCCUGAUCCAGCAAUGCCGCGUGCAGGAAGCAGGCCUUCGGGUUGUAAACUGCUUUUGUACGGAGCGAAAAGGUCCUUUCUAAUACAAGGGGCUCAUGACGGUACCGUAAGAAUAAGCACCGGCUAACUACGUGCCAGCAGCCGCCGUAA